rnacentral:lncRNA from 1 species
ACCCUAGUAGAACCCUACAAGUUGGUUUAUUUUGGGAUAGAUGGAGUUGUUAGGUUUAAACGAUGUGGCAACUGAUUAUGGAAGAAACAAAGCUAGGCACAAAUUCUAGGAGAUACUUUAAACCAUCCAUCUACGAAAGCAUUUGAUUAGGUCAAGAAUGAAAAUACUACAUGAACUACCGUGCUAAUAUCUUCAUGAAGAGAUAUUAUGUGACAUUUUGAUAAGAUUAUGAACAAGUAUUGUAAAAUGGAGGAAGCAAGAAACAAGUAUGAUUAGGGCUAUAGACGUUUGCAUCGGGGGUGCUCAUGUACUUCUUAAUGUCAAUGGCUGAUUCUUUCUUGCUUCUAAUGAACAUGGGCAAGUUUAUAUCUAGCCCGUUGACUCUGCUAUUAGAGUUGCCAGAGAUGCAUUAUGCGGUUAAACUAGGCAGCAUCUUAUUCACGUCGUUGACUGGGCAAAAGAUUUGGAUGUUAACAAUUUCUCAGCCCACGCAAGGAUCCCACAUGCCAUAAUGCUUCCGCUAUGUCCAGACGGUAUACAGUAGACUGCAUAACUUCAUCUCAGUUGUACGAAGGCAUCUGUUGAUGAAAUAAAACUAGGUACGUACAAGGAUAUACUUUAUGAAAAACACCGACACUUCAACAGUUAUAAAUUCAUAUACACAACACCAGUACCAGAGAAUAUCCUAUGGCCUUUGAAAUUUUAAUCUAAGCGAAGUACGACGAGGAGGAAGAUGUAUCACGGAGAACCUGCAUGUUCAAAGCAGAACUAUCACAAAGAGCGUAAGGUGUAGAGCAGUAGGAAAGGCAGUGAAGGAGAAGAUUUCUAGCUUGCCUCCAGUUCGUCUUCAGUGAAUGCGUCCUUCUGGAUGCUCCAUGUGUCAGCAUGGGUGCGCUUAAAUUCUGCAACAGCUUUCGUGACUGUUGAUCUUAUAGGGGGAGGCUCCCGGAUGAAGCGAGCAAGUAGCGAG